rnacentral:rRNA from 1 species
GGCGAGGCGCCGGUCUAAGUCCCUUGGAACGGGGCGUCAUAGAGGGUGAGAAUCCCGUAUGCGACCGGCGAUCGAGCCCAUGUGAAACCCCUUCGACGAGUCGAGUUGUUUGGGAAUGCAGCUCAAAACGGGUGGUAAAUUUCAUCUAAAGCUAAAUACCGGCCAGAGACCGAUAGCGCACAAGUAGAGUGAUCGAAAGAUGAAAAGCACUUUGGAAAGAGAGUCAAACAGUACGUGAAAUUGUUGAAAGGGAAGCGCUUGCAACCAGACCUGCCCGCGGGCGAUCAGCCGUCCUUCGGGGCGGUGCACUCGCCCGCGAUCAGGCCAGCAUCGGUUCGGGCGGUCGGAUAAAGGCCUUGGGAACGUAGCUCCCUUCGGGGAGUGUUAUAGCCCUCGGUGCAAUGCGGCCUGCCCGGACCGAGGACCGCGCUUCGGCUAGGAUGCUGGCGUAAUGGUUGUAAGCGGCCCGUCUUGAAACACGGACCAAGGAGUCGACCAACUAUGCGAGUGUUUGGGCGUCAAACCCACACGCGCAAUGAAAGUGAACGGAGGUGGGAACCCCUCGCGGGGCGCACCAUCGACCGAUCCAGAUGUCUUCGGAUGGAUUUGAGUACGAGCAUAGCUGGUCGGACCCGAAAGAUGGUGAACUAUGCCUGAAUAGGGUGAAGCCAGAGGAAACUCUGGUGGAGGCUCGCAGCGGUUCUGACGUGCAAAUCGAUCGUCAAAUUUGGGCAUAGGGGCGAAAGACUAAUCGAACCAUC